AGGAGGAAGCGUGUAGUUUUGAGAUAAACUUAGAAACUAAGCAUUUGAGAUCAGCAAUAACAUAAACAAAAUUCAUAAUCUAAUUAACUGGUCUGCAAGAGAAUCACCUAUGAUCUUUGUAAAUUGAUGAAUUAGGGAGGGCUUCCAUGUUUAGCUAUGCUUUGAUGUAUUGUUCGGCAAUGCUCAGGCUAGCAGCCUACAAAUUAGAGGCAUCAUAUAUGUUUUGCUAGGCAAAAGGGAAAAACACAAUCAAAAUCUUAUUUGAACGGACAACUCUUGCACUGAGAUUUUACAAGAGUGAUACCUUGGUGUUGCGUUCAGAUUUAAACGACUCGGAGACCUGAUGCCUACAUUGAAAAACAAACCAAGUCCGUCAGCUUGGGAGAGGGCUGCUUUCCAUGAGAAGCAAUUAUAAAAUUCUAUGACAAGAGAUUGUAAGCAUCUAAAAUCAAGCCAAACUAUCUAAUUAGAAGGCAUAGAAGGACUACACACUAAUCUUUGUAAUAUAAGCAUAAGCAUGCUCAUCUCCCCAACCAGGACGACGACGACGACUCCAACCAAGCAUGUCCAGCUCUCUAAGGAGCCAUGGGUGACAAAUAUAUGAUUGUACACUAACUCAAAUGAUUAGCAAUAAAUAAAAUAUCACAACUAAGGUGGAAAUACGAAGAGAGACAACCCGAGAAAUUUUUUCAGGUGCAGCACACACUCCUGAAACCAGACAGAACAUGCCGUGCAACCCCCACCACCACCUUCAGAAAAUCCAUAAUAAUC
rnacentral:lncRNA from 1 species